rnacentral:rRNA from 1 species
UACAGAGGUCUCAAGCGUUGUUCGGAUUCAUUGGGCGUAAAGGGUGCGUAGGUGGCGUCGUAAGUCAGGUGUGAAAUUUCGGAGCUUAACUUCGAAACUGCAUUUGAUACUGCGGUGCUUGAGGACUGGAGAGGAGACUGGAAUUUACGGUGUGGCAGUGAAAUGCGUAGAGAUCGUAAGGAAGACCAGUGGCGAAGGCGGGUCUCUGGACAGUUCCUGACACUGAGAGACGAAAGCUAGGGGAGCGAAUGGG